rnacentral:rRNA from 1 species
UAGGGAAUAUUGGACAAUGGGGGCAACCCUGAUCCAGCCAUGCCGCGUGAGUGAAGAAGGCCCUCGGGUUGUAAAGCUCUUUUGUCCGGAAAGAAAAGCAUUCGGUGAAUACCCGGAUGUUCUGACGGUACCGGAAGAAUAAGCACCGGCUAACUUCGUGCCAGCAGCCGCGGUAAUACGAAGGGUGCAAGCGUUACUCGGAAUUACUGGGCGUAAAGCGUGCGUAGGUGGUUGUUUAAGUCUGAUGUGAAAGCCCUGGGCACAACCUGGGAAUGGCAUUGGAAACUGGGCAGCUAGAGUGCGGUAGAGGGGAGUGGAAUUCCCGGUGUAGCAGUGAAAUGCGUAGAGAUCGGGAGGAACAUCUGUGGCGAAGGCGACUGCCUGGACCAGCACUGACACUGAGGCACGAAAGCGUGGGGAGCAGACA